GGCCCGGAGUGUUCGAGGAGUGGGAAGGAGGGCCAGGCAGUGAUCGCAAUGGGUGACUGGCAGCCUGGUACGGGAACCUGGCCGCAGCCGCGCCCCCAGGCUCGCCCAGCCGGGCUCUUAUCCGAACUGGAGCCUGUACAGCCGGCAGCACAUCAGGCAGAGUUGCACGGGAUUCUAGUUGGCCUUCACUGCCGGGCACGGGAAAGUGUUCUUCCUGAACAUUUAAUCUUUCCGUGAUUAAACGGGGCGCAGUGAGAAUUAGUGUGGUCUGGGUAGCCUUCCUAUGAGGCAACUCCAUUGUCAUCCAAGUUGACUAAUGGAAACCCCAGACAGGCCAAGCUGAGUCACUUGCCAAAAUCAACGGGGGAGUCCAACCUGGGUACUUUCCCUCCCACCACUCCUCAAUACCACCCUUUCCCCUGUGUGCCAGCAGGUGGCUGGGCUUCAGUCCCAUGAAUGAGAAGAGUGGGACCCUAGGGGACAGCCUACUGCGAGUGCUCAAGGCUUGAGGUGCCGGCUACAGCUUUGUGCCAGUUUGAAGGAUCAAGAGGGGCAACCACAGUGGAGUGGCGUAAGAUGGCCCAUUUAACCCCAAAACAGCAGGACCACCAGCAGGGGGACAACCUGAAACCCAUAGUUCACAGAGGCCACUGCAACCCUGCUGGGAGGGAACCCUGGCGGGAUCCACCUGUCCUCUCUGCCAGUCCAAGGUUCUGUCACUUUCCAGGGUAUUGUGAGGUCCAGGGGAAGGAGACCCCAGCCCUGGCUAAACACUCCUCUACCCAGGAGGUGGGGCAGGAGGAGACAGGAUAUGGUUCCUGUCCACUUUCCUUCCUUCUGAGCAUUAAAGGCCCCUCUAGUCCUGUAUGUUACAGGACAGAGGACAAGUCACCCACCUUAGCCCGCCAGUUCACUGCCUGGGCCUGGCUGGGACAACAGAGGAACAGGCAGUCAGCAGCCCUCAGGCCCUGACAGCGGACACUACAAAGACAGAAGCACCUGUCAAGGAGAAACCUGCUCAUUCCUGCAUAUUUCUUUAGCAGCAGACACUGUUUGAAGCUUUUUGUUGUCGUUGUCAUUGGUGAAGGAUGGGUGUUUGUUUUAAAUGGAUCUUGCUGUAUAGUCCAGAUACUGCUACUGUGCCCAUUCUACAGAUGAGAUGACUAAGGCAUAGAGAAGUGAAGCCACCUGCCCGAGAUCACACAGUCAGCAAAUGACAGAAUCAGGAUUUGAACCCAAGCUUGGAUCUGGUAAGGAGAGAGACAAGAGACAGAAUGUACUUCCUGGCAAAUCCCAUAAGACCACUCAGCCACCUUGCCUGGACCCCAUAAGGAUCCGCCACCUAUGGAAAUGUUUUUCCUAGCAGAUCCACACUUCACUGCUGAUGUGCUUGACCCUCAUGCACUCCCGGGGAUAAAUUCAGCCUCCGACAUGGCCCUCUGGUCUUUGCCCAACUUUACCAGCUCAUCCAAACUGUCGUUCCUGGACCAGUCACAGAACACUCCUGGCUAGUCCUUACAAAGGUCUUUCCUACCCCAGGGCCCUUGCACCAGCUGCUCUCGGUCUCAAACCUCUCCCCUCACUGUCUCUGAGAGCCCUCCCUCUUGGGCCUCCUGUUCCCCUUAAGGCACCUUUGCUGAUCUUGCCAUUCCUGGCGUUCACGUCUUUGUCAUUGAUUUCCUAGCCGCCCACUGGACUGAGCACCGUGGCUCUGCUGUGUCCUCCUCCCAGGAACAAGCAAGAAGAAAUGUCGCUGUCCAAGAGGCUGAAAAAGGCCCAGGCCAGCAUCAAGAUAAACACAUCAAACACA